AAAUUGAAGAGUUUGAUCAUGGCUCAGAUUGAACGCUGGCGGCAGGCCUAACACAUGCAAGUCGAACGGUAACAGGAAGCAGCUUGCUGCUUUGCUGACGAGUGGCGGACG
rnacentral:rRNA from 4 species